rnacentral:rRNA from 1 species
GACGAACGCUGGCGGCGUGCUUAACACAUGCAAGUCGAACGGAAAGGCCCUGCUUUUGUGGGGUGCUCGAGUGGCGAACGGGUGAGUAACACGUGAGUAACCUGCCCUUGACUUUGGGAUAACUUCAGGAAACUGGGGCUAAUACCGGAUAGGAGCUCCUGCUGCAUGGUGGAGGUUGGAAAGUUUCGGCGGUUGGGGAUGGACUCGCGGCUUAUCAGCUUGUUGGUGGGGUAGUGGCUUACCAAGGCUUUGACGGGUAGCCGGUCUGAGAGGGUGACCGGCCACAUUGGGACUGAGAUACGGCCCAGACUCCUACGGGAGGCAGCAGUGGGGAAUAUUGCACAAUGGGCGGAAGCCUGAUGCAGCAACGCCGCGUGCGGGAUGACGGCCUUCGGGUUGUAAACCGCUUUCGCCUGUGACGAAGCGUGAGUGACGGUAAUGGGUAAAGAAGCACCGGCUAACUACGUG